rnacentral:rRNA from 1 species
CCUACGGGUGGCAGCAGUCGAGAAUCAUUCACAAUGGGGGAAACCCUGAUGGUGCGACGCCGCGUGGGGGAAUGAAGGUCUUCGGAUUGUAAACCCCUGUCAUGUGGGAGCAAAUUAAAAAGAUAGUACCACAAGAGGAAGAGACGGCUAACUCUGUGCCAGCAGCCGCGGUAAUACAGAGGUCUCAAGCGUUGUUCGGAAUCACUGGGCGUAAAGCGUGCGGAGGCUGUUUCGUAAGUCGUGUGUGAAAGGCGCGGGCUCAACCCGCGGACGGCACAUGAUACUGCGAGACUAGAGUAGUGGAGGGGGAACCGGAAUUCUCGGUGUAGCAGUGAAAUGCGUAGAUAUCGAGAGGAACACUCGUGGCGAAGGCGGGUUCCUGGACAUUCACUGACGCUGAGGCACGAAGGCCAGGGGAGCGAAAGGGAUUAGAUACCCCUGUAGUC